AAGACCUUGCGCUUUUGGAGCGGCCGAUGUCUGAUUAGCUUGUUGGUGAGGUAAAAGCUUACCAAGGCUUCGAUCAGUAGCUGGUCUGAGAGGACGGCCAGCCACACUGGGACUGAGACACGGCCCAGACUCCUACGGGAGGCAGCAGUGGGGAAUUUUGGACAAUGGGGGCAACCCUGAUCCAGCCAUGCCGCGUGAGUGAAGAAGGCCUUCGGGUUGUAAAGCUCUUUCAGCCGGAACGAAACGGUUACGGUUAAUACCCGUGACUACUGACGGUACCGGAAGAAGAAGCACCGGCUAACUACGUGCCAGCAGCCGCGGUAAUACGUAGGGUGCAAGCGUUAAUCGGAAUUACUGGGCGUAAAGCGUGCGCAGGUGGUUUUGUAAGUCAGAUGUGAAAUUCCCGGGCUUAACCUGGGAACU
rnacentral:rRNA from 1 species